UACGUAGGGGGCAAGCGUUAUCCGGAUUCACUGGGUGUAAAGGGAGCGUAGACGGCGACGCAAGUCUGGAGUGAAAGCCCGGGGCCCAACCCCGGGACUGCUCUGGAAACUGCGGCGCUGGAGUACGGGAGGAGCAGGCGGAAUUCCUGGUGUAGCGGUGAAAUGCGUAGAUAUCAGGAGGAACACCGGCGGCGAAGGCGGCCUGCUGGACCGUGACUGACGUUGAGGCUCGAGAGCGUGGGGAGCAAACAGG
rnacentral:rRNA from 1 species